UCUAAUCUCCCGUCAUCUUCAUCGCAUUUCUGCCCUAACUCUUACAACCUUACACCUAAAACCUCAAUCUCUCUUUCUUAACAACAAAAUUGCUCAUAAUCAGCUAUAAAUUCCACCGUUUGAACACCAAAAAUGGAUUCCACAAUAUAUCUGCGAACCCUUGUAUCUUUACCGUCUUCGAUUUCCAGAUAUCAUAGACGAAGGCUUUUGAGCAAAGAUUCUGUAUUAUAAGCUUGAUCACAGGGUGGAAUAUGAUCCAAGCUAAGUGUUAAAAGCCAGUACAAGCAAGGCUUGUGAUUCAUCCACUGACUGCUCCUAUACCCGGAAAUGACCAUAAUGAGAGUUUCGCACGCAGCUUUCAAAGUUCGGAAAUUCGGGUGGUGCAGUACGUGGUGACUUAGACAGUACAAAAUAACAUCAUAUAUGCAACAUAUCCCUCCCUAACAAAUCAACUAACAACCCAUCCAACAUUUAUUUAUUUAUUAUUUUCCAAAAUCCCAAACAUUCAAAGCCCUGCAACCUUGCUAAGAUUUGAAGGUAAAGCUUUGUGGGUUUUGCCCUGUGAUGCCAUUGGUGUUACAGUUAAUCUUGGUCGUUGCAGCUUGAUCAAAGCAGAUUCUGACCUCGGUAAGAUAGGCCCCUACGCACUGAAUUUUGACAUCCACAUUCAAAGCUUGGCGGAUUGUGUUAAGAAAUUGGGUAUCACCGUACUGUGAUUUUGAUCAAAGAGGCUAAACGAAAUCCUGCCAGUACGGUGAUUCCCAGUUUCUUAACACAAUCCGCCAAGCUUUAGACGUGGAUGUCAAAAUUCAGUGCGUAGGGGCCUAUCUCACCUAGGUCAGAAUCUGCUUUGAUCAAGCUGCAACAGCCAAGAUUAAUUGUAACACCAAUGGCAUCACAGGACAAUGCCCAAAAAGCUUUACCUUCAAAUCUUAUAGCCAGCUUGAAGGGCUUUGAAUUUUUGAGAUUUUGGAAAAUAAUAAAUAAAUGUUGGAUGGCUUACUAGUUGAUUUGUUAGGGAGGAUAUGCUGCAUAUAUGAUGUUAUUUUGUCUAUCCGAUCGUGUUUCCAGAAACCAUUAGGCCAAUCUGCAGAUUGAAGAGCAGAGAAUUCCGUGGAAACUGCAACAUAUAUAUUAUAUUGAAGAGCACUGAGCUUUGCUAUGGAGUUGGAAAACGGCCAUAGGCCAUGGAUGGUGAAAUCAGAUUUCACCUUACUCACUAUGCAAUUGGCACCAAUUGAAGCACAAUAGCCCAGGGGCCAUGUUAGAUUGUUAGUGCCAAAAUGAAGCCAUCCCAUGUAACUCUUGGUUACCAGUAAACAAAAAAUAAGUAAACUUAAAGUAAUUUUCAUUGUGUGUAUGCCUUUGAAUUUGCAGAGCAGAUGUGAUGUGUAGUGCUGUAUGUGUUUAAUUCUCACCAAGGUACUAUGUGUGUGUUUAUAUAGGCUAAGCCACUGCCUUGUCAUUUUCUUAAUUGCUAUUUUUUUCAUAUGAAAUGAAGAACUUGGUUGUUUUACUCCAUUAUAAUGUCAUUCUACUUUAAGUAGCUCAAACAGAAUUUGUUUUAGGUCAUUGUCAUUGUACUGCAUUUGUUUGCAUUCACAUUUGCUUUGCUGGAUCACAGGGUGGAAUAUGAAGUGCUUGAAGUAUACACUGAUCCUAUACUCAGCUUGGAAAUGAAAUGACCAAAGGGCAGGCAAUAGUUUGUGGAUCUCUUAACUUCAUCUUAUUGUCAUUGUAAUAAUACAAUCCCACGGCCGUUCUAUUUAGUUAUAUUAUGAUCUUCCAGUCUGGAGUUUAAUAUUAUUGUACGUGUAAACAUGUCAGGUGACCUUUUUAUCAUGUCAAUAUAAGUUAAAAUUUGUGCACA